rnacentral:rRNA from 1 species
GUGAGGAAUAUUGCGCAAUGGAGGCAACUCUGACGCAGCCAUGCCGCGUGCAGGAAGAAGGCGCUACGCGUUGUAAACUGCUUUUAACCGGGAAGAAACCCCAGGACGUGUCCUGGGUUGACGGUACCGGAGGAAUAAGCACCGGCUAACUUCGUGCCAGCAGCCGCGGUAAUACGAAGGGUGCAAGCGUUAUCCGGAUUCAUUGGGUUUAAAGGGUGCGUAGGCGGAGCGUUAAGUCAGUGGUGAAGUCUUGCAGCUUAACUGUAGACUUGCCAUUGAUACUGGCGCUCUUGAGUGCGCUUGAAGUGGGCGGAAUGUGCCGUGUAGCGGUGAAAUGCUUAGAUAUGGCACAGAACACCAAUUGCGAAGGCAGCUCACUAAGGCGAUACUGACGCUGAGGCACGAAAGCGUGGGGAUCGAACAGGAUUAGAUACCCGAGUAGUCC